rnacentral:rRNA from 1 species
GAGUUUGAUCUUGGCUCAGAUUGAACGCUGGCGGCAUGCCUUACACAUGCAAGUCGAACGACGCUAGGGGCAACUCUAGCGAGUGGCGAACGGGUGAGUAAUACAUCGGAACGUGUCCUGUCGUGGGGGAUAACCAGUCGAAAGACUGGCUAAUACCGCAUGACCUCGCAAGAGAAAAGCGGAGGACCGCAAGGCUUCGCGCGAUUGGAGCGGCCGAUGUCGGAUUAGCUAGUUGGCGGGGUAAUGGCCCACCAAGGCGACGAUCCGUAGCUGGUUUGAGAGAACGACCAGCCACACUGGGACUGAGACACGGCCCAGACUCCUACGGGAGGCAGCAGUGGGGAAUUUUGGACAAUGGGGGCAACCCUGAUCCAGCCAUGCCGCGUGUGUGAAGAAGGCCUUCGGUUGU